rnacentral:rRNA from 1 species
UACGUAGGGUGCGAGCGUUAUUCGGAAUUACUGGGCGUAAAGCGUGCGCAGGCGGUUCGCCAAGUCAGGUGUGAAAUCCCCGGGCUUAACCUGGGAAUUGCGCUUGAAACUAGCGGGCUUGAGUGUGGCAGAGGGGGGUGGAAUUCCACGUGUAGCAGUGAAAUGCGUAGAGAUGGGGAGGAACACCGAUGGCGAAGGCAGCCCCCUGGGUCAACACUGACGCUCAUGCACGAAAGCGUGGGGAGCAAACAGG